rnacentral:misc_RNA from 1 species
GCAAACUUGGUCAUUUAGAGGAAGUAAAAGUCGUAACAAGGUUUCCGUAGGUGAACCUGCGGAAGGAUCAUUAACAAAUCCUGGAUUGUUGGUGCACGUGUCGUUGACGGGGAUGGAUGAUCGUUCGUUCGUUCCUGCUCGCUGAUUCGUGCACCCGACAAUACACACGUUCCAUGUGCUGCAUCGCUGCAUGUGCAUGACAACAUUUCUGCGAGUCGUCUGAUUGUCACGCGAUCAAUUCAUACAAAGACUUUUAACAAUGGAUCUCUAGGCUCUUGCAUCGAUGAAGAACGCAGC